GAUGAACGCUGGCGGCGUGCCUAAUACAUGCAAGUCGAGCGAACAGACGAGGAGCUUGCUCCUCUGACGUUAGCGGCGGACGGGUGAGUAACACGUGGAUAACCUACCUAUAAGACUGGGAUAACUUCGGGAAACCGGAGCUAAUACCGGAUAAUAUAUUGAACCGCAUGGUUCAAUAGUGAAAGACGGUUUUGCUGUCACUUAUAGAUGGAUCCGCGCCGCAUUAGCUAGUUGGUAAGGUAACGGCUUACCAAGGCAACGAUGCGUAGCCGACCUGAGAGGGUGCGCGCCCACACGGGAACUGCGCCACGGCCCAGCCCCCUCGGGGAGGCGCCAGUCGGGAAUCUUCCGCAAGGGGGGAAACCCUAACGGGACAGCGCGGCGGGAGUGAUAAAGGUUUUCGGACCUUAAAACUUUUUUAUGGGGGAAAAACAAAUGUGAAAGUACCUUUCCCCGUCUUGACGGUCCUUAAUAAGAAACCCACGCCUACCUCCGUC
rnacentral:rRNA from 1 species